rnacentral:rRNA from 1 species
CCUACGGGGGGCACCAGUAGGGAAUCUUCCGCAAUGGACGAAAGUCUGACGGAGCAACGCCGCGUGAGUGGUGUAGGCUUUCGGGUCGUAAAACUCUGUUGUUAGGGAAGGACAAGUGCUAGUUGAAUAAGCUGGCACCUUGACGGUACCUAACCAGAAAGCCACGGCUAACUACGUGCCAGCAGCCGCGGUAAUACGUAGGUGGCAAGCGUUAUCCGGAAUUAUUGGGCGUAAAGCGCGCGCAGGUGGUUUCUUAAGUCUGAUGUGAAAGCCCACGGCUCAACCGUGGAGGGUCAUUGGAAACUGGGAGACUUGAGUGCAGAAGAGGAAAGUGGAAUUCCAUGUGUAGCGGUGAAAUGCGUAGAGAUAUGGAGGAACACCAGUGGCGAAGGCGACUUUCUGGUCUGUAACCGACACUGAGGCGCGAAAGCGUGGGGAGCAAACAGGAUUAGAUACCCUCGUAGUC